AGAUUGAACGCUGGCGGCAUGCCUAACACAUGCAAGUCGAACGGGAGUAGCAAUACUCUAGUGGCGGACGGGUGAGGAAUACGUAGGAAUUUGCCCUUAAGUGGGGGAUAACCCGGGGAACCCGGAUUAAUACCGCAUGACCUCGAAAGAGCAAAGUGGGGGAUCGCAAGACCUCACGCUUUUGGAGAAGCCUACGUCGGAUUAGCUAGUUGGUGAGGUAAUGGCUCACCAAGGCGACGAUCCGUAACUGGUCUGAGAGGAUGAUCAGUCACACCGGAACUGAGACACGGUCCGGACUCCUACGGGGAGCAGCGAGUGGGAAUAGUGGACAAUGGGCGCAAGCCUAGAUCCAGCAAUGACCGCGUGCGUAGAAGAAGGCCGUUCGGUAGUAAGCUACCGUUAAGGUUAGGAAGUAAAACUACGACUUACUAACAACAGUAGUAGUACGUUA
rnacentral:rRNA from 1 species